GCUGGGCUAGGUGGGGGGUGCCUGUAGUCCCAGCUACGUGGAGACUGAGGCUGGAGGAUCUCUUGAGCCCAGGAGUUCUGGGCUGUAGUGCACUAUGCCGAUCGGAUUUCCGCACUAAGUUCGCCCUCAAUAUGGUGACCUCCUGGGAGCGGGGAACCAUCAGGUUGCCUAAGGAGGGGUGAACCAGCCCAGGUCAAAAACGGAGCAGGUCAAAACUCCCGUGCUGAUCAGGAUCGUGCCUGUGAAUAGCCACUGCACUCCAGCCUGGGCAACAUAGCGAGACCUCAUCUCUA
ensembl:misc_RNA Metazoa_SRP Metazoan signal recognition particle RNA